GUUUGGCCAGAACUCCUAGUAAUCUCUAUUAGAGUUGCUGCCUCCACUCCUUGGUUAUAACCAUUUUCUACAAAAGAAAAAAAAAUCAUAUAGUUGAAUAAAAUAAGAAAGAAUGAAUACCAUUAAAUUCAGUAAAUUCACAAAAUUCACAGUGUGUGAUUGUUUGUAGUCAAUUACUAACACCAUUACCUUUCUCAAGUUCCUCUAACUCAUAGUAAAAUUUGAGGUCUUCUUCAGUUGGAUCCUUGUAUAAGCUUGGUGUAUCAGCUCUUAGCCAAUCACUAGUGCACACCAGGGCCUCCACCAUUCUUGGUGUCAAUGAUGCUCUAAAAGGAUCGACAACUCUAUCACCUAAACUAAAAGCAUUUUCAGACACCACUGUUGAGCAAGGAAUAGAAAAUAUAUCCUUGGCCAGCUUUGAUAGAACUGGAUAGGUUGCCUCAUUGCCUUUCCACCAUUUGGCAAUUUCAAAACCCUUGGAUAAGAGGUUGACANNNNNNNNNNNNNNNNNNNNAAUGAUCAUAUCGGACGGUUCGAAUUUUGGUUUGUAAAUUUUAGUCAUCGGAAUCACACGUGUCUACUAUUUACCGUUAUUAUUCCGUAUGGGAGCCCUAUACGUCGGAAGGUAAAUGUCUCAAAAUAUUUAUAUGGGCAGUUGCGUCUCAUCUACGUGAGAGUUUUUUGUGUGGAAUGUUUGACCAAACCACGUAAUAUAGAGAGAGAUAUGAGCGUUUUCGUGUGAUAAGUGACGAUGGAUUAGGGUUACACGUUUCGAUCGAGUCCUUAACGUUGUCGGAUCCAGUUGAAUUUUUUACCAUAGACAUCUUUCGUCAUAAUGAUCAUAUCUGACGGUCGAAUUUUGGUUUGUGAAUUUUAGUCAUCGGAAUCACAACGUGUCUACUAAUGUUGUAUAACUUGUUUAGUAGGUUAUACAACUUUGUGAACCAACUCUAUAUAGGAAGCAAAAUUAUCAAAAAUCUCGUGAAAUAAGAUGUGUUCAGAAUGGUGAAAUACGGCUAUGGUUCAAAAAUCACGUAAAUCGGGUAAAGUCUCGGUGUCGAUAGUAGCGGUCAACCCUAUUUACCGUUAUUAUUCCCUAUGGGGAGCCCUAUCGUCGGAAGGUAAAUGUCUCAAAAUUUUUAUAUAGGCGGUUGCGUCUCAUCUUUAUAUUACCGAAGGUGGAUGGUAAGAAGUCUAUUUCGCCUGCCAGAUUUUCUUCUCGACCUAGCUCCGCCGUCAGGCCACCGGAGACCGCCACACUUGUCCCAAAAGCUUCACCGUCGUCUCUACUUCAUUGCUGGACAUGUGGUGCAUCGAGUGGUGCCGCCGUGAGAGAUAAAUCGAGCUCCAAAACUCCGCCGGUUCGGAUUCUGUGUGAGUUUGAUUAGUACUACAUUCCCCUAGAAUUUGGUAGCUCGAUUCGGUGUGUGUGAGGAGAAUCGAAGAUUUGAAGUUUUUAGGGUUUAAAAUUGGGGAUUUUUAUAUUUUGAUUCAAUUGACCUGUUUAGGCUUAGAAUUGAGCUUCGACUUCUUCUAGAAAGUUAUUCGAAAUGUUGAGAGGAAGAUUCUGUCAAAUUUUGGUGGUGAUUGGAGGUGGCUGAAAGUUUCUGCAGUUUUUUUUUUCAAAAACCAGCAACUUUAGCCGACGAUAUUUAAAGGUUUAGCCGACGAUAUUUAAAGGUUUAUUCGUUGGCUACAGUAAUUUUAAAUUUUUUUAUAAGGUUUAGCCGACGAAUUAUGGCAUAUUUCGUCGGCUAUAGUUAUUUUUAAAAUUUUUUUAUAAGGUUUAGCCGACGAAACAGACUAUAUUUCGUCGGCUAUAGUUAUUUUUUAAAAUUUUUUAUAAGGUUUAGCCGACGAAACAGACUAUAUUUCGUCGGCUAUAGUUAUUUUUUAAAAUUUUUAUAAGGUUUACGCCGAACGAAACAAUUAUAUUUCGUCGGCUUAUAGUUAUUUUUUUAAUUUUUAUAAGGUUUAGCCGACGAAACNUACUAUAUUUCGUCGGCUAUAGUCUGGUAAAUUUUUUUAUUAACAGACUUUAGCCGUACGAAUAUACUUAAUUGUUUCGUCGGCUAAAGUCUUGGGAAAAAAACCGACGACAUGUUUUUUCGUCGGCUAAACUGCGGGACUAUAGCCGACGAAAUUUUUUUUUUUCGUCGGUUAAAGUCAUCACAGACGACUUUUUUCUCGACGUAAAAUCUUAGUCGACGAUGGCUCGUCGGCUAAGAUCUUAGCCGACGAAUUAAGCUAACAGGCUUUUCGUCGGCUAAAGUGCUUGUCCUGGUAGUGUAUAUUCUCGAUCUUAUUUCUUUUAUUCUUGAAGAAGAGGGUAUUGAAGGAAAUUUAAGGAGAAAUAUAAACAAUUUUUUUUUGGAGGUGUGUAUCUAGUAAAUAGAUAUGUGUUAAUAAAAUUUCUCGAUAAAUAAUUACUGCAAAUUGAAAAAAAGUUAUUGUUAAUUUGUACAUCAUUUGUUGCAGGUUGUGGUAAAAUCUGUAGCCACUGUAGUAACUUUUUUCUUUUUCACCGGAAUGAAAUUUUUUUCUUUUUCCAUUUGAGCCUCAUGUCGAAAGAAAAAAAUGGGGCAAUGUUGGGGUAAAUAUUUUUUACGGGAUUAGAAAAAAGGCUCAUUAAAUAAAGGACAUCAUGAAGAGGAGGGGAGUCUUUUAUGCAAGUGUUGACUAAAAUGUGAUCUAUUUACUUAUUAAAAUUUCAAUAUCGACCAACUUUUAUUAUUUGAUUUUCAUAAUUAAUAUUUUUUAUUUUUUUGGCUAGAAGAAUUAAUUCAUAUUUGGAUAAAGAAAUGAACAAAAUAAAAUGACAAAAAUGUAGCAAGUUGACUAAUUUUGAAAACAUAAGGUAGCAAAUUGGCAGAAAUAAUAGCUAGGGUAGCAAAUUGGUUAAUUAUGAAAAGUUAGGGUAACAAAUUGGCUGAAAUGAAAAGUAAGGUAGUAAAUUGAUACUAAGGUAAAAUGUAGGGUAACAAUUUGACUAAAAAGCCUUGAAAUAAAUCAUGUUGUGUGUGAAUUAUGUCUUAGUUAAAGUAAAUCAUUUUGCGGUUGAAAUAUAUCUUCAUUAGAGCGAACCAUGUUAUGAGUGGAUUAUGUCCUUGUCAAGAAAAAGUCAUGUUAUGCAUGAUAUAUGUUCUCAUCGAAAAAAAUCAUGUUACGGUCGAAUUAGGUUCCUGUUAAGAUGAAUUUUGUGACAGUCAAACUGGGUCACAGUCACGGUACAAUAUUGAAUAUUCCCCUCAGUAUAAUAAGUAAAGGUAGAAGUAUGUGGUUCUAUUCACGCAUGGAUUGGGUUAUGGAGUUAUCGUUAGAACAAGUUGUAAUUGAAGUAAAGUAGAAGUAAUCUACGAGAGGAAACUGAAGACGCUUUCCCACGAUGUCCAGAUUGUGGUAUUGAGGAUCCAUCGCGCGUGACUUGCGGAUGAAACCAACCACGCGCAUUAGUCAAGAUCAUCGCUGGGGUGCGACUAUAAAUAUUACAACUGCAAAUCAAGCCAUAGCAUGUAGAAAAAGUACUCUCCGAGUGCAUCCAUCCCCUUUUCCAUUAGAUUUUUCUUUCAUCAAGCACGUAACCCGAGCCCAAAACCAAAAACACUUGUCUAAUUCCAUCCUCAAGGAAAAAGCUUUUAUUCUCGCUCUAGUUACAAGAAAUAGGUGAGGAAAUUCCACGAUUAUUUUCCCGUGGAAAUUGCUAAUUCCACAGGAUAAGAAUUUCCACGGGAAAAUAAUCCAAACGGGGAAACAGUUUUAAAAAAUUGAAAAUUCUUUAUUUUUAAUUAAAUUUCCGAGAAUUCACUCGCAUCCAAACACACUGUAGAGGGUGUGAUAUUUCGUGUAAGUACUAUACAGAAGGUAUCCAAAAUUGAAAUUAGAUGCUUUUAUUUUGUGAAUUGGAAAUGUAUCAUUUCUUCAUGCCAAUAUGAAUUAUUUAUGCCUCAUAAAAACAAAAACACAUACGAGCCAACAUAGUACUGCCCUUUGGUCCUGACAUGCCAACCCCAUCUUAGUGGUUUCGAACUCGGCAAUUACGGCGGAUCUCUCCCUGCUUACCUGUCAGAACCUUAAUAGAGCCCAUUCUGCUCAUUGAGUAUGCAUAUGACCUCCGAAAAUCUUCUAAACCAGCAUCAAACUCAUCGGUGAUAUCCUUUGUGUCUUCACCUAACAAUAGCUGCUGAUCGAUUCCCAGCACAGAUUUCUUGGAUAGAACUCUGGAGUAGUAGGAGUUUGUGAAACUGUAACUGGGCCCAGAUUGGGGGUUUAGGUACACCAGCGGGUCACUCUGUCCCUUUUUUGUUCUUGGUGGACAUAGCUUCCUCAUGGAGGAUAAGAAUGAGGGACCCAUGUUUGGGUCUGGCUUGUUUGUGCCAUUAAAAUUGUAGAGCCGAUCCAAAAUGAAACGACAAUGUGUUUUACCCAUUGAAUGUGAACCUGAACGUAAAACAUAUAUCAGUUUAAAUUUGUUAUAAUGCCAUCAUAGUCAUCUUUCCAAUUAUAAGAACAAGAAAUGACUGAUUAUUUUGGCUAAUAGUAAGAACAUGGAAUGAUUAAAAAGAAAGGUACGUUGCGGUUUACUUAUUGGGUGCAUGAAGCAUUAGUUUUGCUCACCUAGUAGGGUAGUCAUAUCCAACACAUUCAAGCCUCUGGAUUUGAAGUAGUCAAGUGAAGCCUGCCAUGAAAUGGAGGGUGAGGGAAGGUCGACUGAUGAUCUGCUUGAUUUUAGCCCGUCCCUUCGGCCUGUAAGAACAGGAUAAGAUGGUGCACCUGCCUGUAGAUAGGAUAUAUGGAUUGAUUAUAUAUAUUAUGUUGAGCGCAAUUCCCAGAAACAUAUAUAUUAAUUGUAAAUUUCAUGCGAAGUUAAAAAUGAUUAGCUAGUAAGAGCUGGAGUACCAAAUGAACAGCAUCCCUGGUGGCGAGGUUGAGAAGGUCAGCACACGAGACGGCACCGGGGCAGCGUUGUUCAAGAACCCGUUUGAUCCUGUCAAUGAAAACGAAACCUCCCAAUCCCAAAUUCUGUGGUGCAGUUUUCUCAGAGUUUGGACCAUCCAGCAGCACUGAUGCAUCACAACCCUGCAUUUAUAUUUAACCUCAUUAAUUGACUACAAAUUCCAAUCCUCUUAUUGUUUAUAUGAUUAUCUUGUACCUGUAUAAACUAAUCGAUUAAUUACAAGCAAGUGAUAUACUGUAUUUCUUUAUGCUCAGAGAAAAUAUAUGGGAGAAACGAUGUGUCGUUAUAAACUUAAGUAUUCACUCAUGCGUAAGUACGUAGUUGAGUACUACAGUCCACAGCUUGGCCAAGCAGACUACUACGGUUAUGAUGGGAUGUCGAAUAUAUAUGAACAUAUAAGUAGAUCAAAAGAUGGAGAAAAGAACCAAAGAGCGCUGAUGGUUUACGUACAGUUACGAAGCAAUCGGAGUAGAGUAACCGGAGAAGCUUAGGGGUGAUGCUUUUAUCUUGGUGCCAAAGCAACUCGACUUGGUGGCGAAUGUAAAGUUCUGCGUCGCGGCAUGUGUUAGUGACUUUGUAGAAAUGCCACAUCAACUGAUUUUGCUUUGGUGGUGGUGGUGGUGCUUUUGGCGUCGCCGACGAGCACACAGACACUAGAAGUGGAAGGACCACAAGAAACACAAAUAUUCUCUGGUUUCUUGUCAUUGUCUUCUCCUCCCUCAAAAAACCUAGCCAGUUGCUCUGUGUGUACUGCUAUCACUGCUAUGUAUCUAACAUGCACAAACAAGUAUAUACAACCCUUAUGAGAUAGCUUGUGUGUAUAUAUAAGCAGAAACCGACCAAUGCUCGAUCCUAGCUUGUAUUGUUAACUAAGGCUGGCAAAGCAAGGCACCGUGUGUGACGGCCGGAAGAGUUGGGGGAGGCACAUGGCCAGUGGAAUUUGCCUUCAUUAUACUCUACCCCAUCGAUUCUCUCUACCAUUCUCAACUGGUGUGUUGUGCCCUAACCCAAAUUCGAACUUAAAUUAAUCGUAGUCAGCAAGGAAUUGGCAAAGUCUGCAUGGGAUUGUGAGCUGAGCAGCUGGCCUUCCUUCCUGGCCUUUAUUGGGGCAUACAUUUUUAGACUUGCUAUGGCAUAUUUUGUGAUCCCGUCAAGCUUUACACGCCCCAAGUACAUUAUAAAUUGCAAGGGACACGCCGCCCCACGCUUUACAUGCCCAACCCAGAAAUUGUUUUCUGUUUUCAAUCUGGCCUAGUGGCCUUGAAUUUAGAGUGAAGUGAAGUACUGAAAAGAGAAUAUAAUAUAUUCUUGUUUUAAAGAGAGACUGGACUGCUCACAGGAAGAAAAUCACCUGUACCGAAAAACUCAUGUGCCAAACCUGUGCCACCAACAAGAAUUUAACACAUGUCUAUCGACUUGACAGAAGUUUACACCGUUAAGUCAUUUGUUUUCCAACUAUUUUCUUAUUGAUUAUUAAUGUUUCAUCCAACUGUUCCUCUACCAUGUUCAUCGUCUAAUGCAGAUUCUUCUUCUCAUCAUUUCUACCUUCUUCCCCUGCAACUCUGUCAUGACCUAAAUUCCAAUAGAUAACAUCAUAAUAUUAUAUUUGUUGCCUUACCCACAGUUCUAUUUCCCAAUUUUCUCUCUUGUUUUUCCAAUUUGAGCUUCAAUAUGUAUAAUCGUUUGCCUUAUUCUCAAUCUCUAAGAACCCAUCUUGUUUUCUUUUCUGGAGAAGCAAAUUGAGGUAGACCUUUUAAGGGGAUUCAGUGAAGAUCAAUUUGGAUUUAUUUUCAAAUUUAACAAGAUUGAUUGAUAUUCCUGAUGAUGUUUCUAGUUUUCUUUUCCUUUCUCUUACUGGGUUUGUUAUUACUUGCUGAUUUUUAUCGCUGAAAAUAGGUUAAUAUCUACACCUCUGCAAGACUGCAACAAACCCAGCAGCACCCUGAUAAGAAUUUCUCUAUUGGGUCUCCUACACCCUGAGGACAACUUCCAACAUUUAAUUUGGUUUUGUAUGAUUUCAAUGCAAAACUUGCUGCGGAUUUCAAUCCCAAUUUUUGUUCGUCUCUUUUGGCCUCAUCGGAGGACGGAGGAGGAAGUUGAUUUAAGUGGGAGAAAUUUUUUUUGUUCGAUAAAGAAGCCGGUUCUGGGAUUGAUUCAUGAGAAAUAAGGAGAAAAAGAGAAAAAUAUUUUUUUUAAAUUAAAAAUAAGAUUAGAGUUAGGUCCGAGGUUGGUUAGGGCUGCGCGGGGCCGACGGCGAUGAAUGGAUCUUGGAUUCCGGCGAGCUAGGUCCGGUUCUUUUGAUCGGACAUGUUGUUUGCAGGUUUGAAGAGUGAGAUUAGUCUCUGAUCGGAUUCUCGUAGUUUUGACGAGACGCGAUGAUCGGUGGCGGUCGGCUGGUGUGUGUCGUUGAUGGACGGCGCCGGCGGUAUAUGCUGUUGGUCUGGCUUCGGGUGGUGGCGGUGGGGCGAGGGUGAGGCAGAGCUUUGGGCCGGGGAGUUGGGCUUAGCCCAUAUGUUCAGUUUCUUUGGGUUUGGGCUCUUGUUUGGCAAAAGUUGGGCUAGGGUUUGUUUUGGGCCCUGGCUUGAUUUCUGUUUAUUUUGUUUUAUUUACUGUUUAGUCUAGGACUGCUUGCGGGUCUAGAGCAUUUUCUUAGUUAUUGGCUUCGGUAUGUAAUUAGGUUUUUUUUGUUGCUCUAGGGUAGCCUCCCAUGUGUAUGGUGGGUCUCGGAAGUGGUCAAUAAUGAUAGGUUGAGGACUUGUCUCUUCCUCCUUGUUUCUCGGUGGCUGGUUACUUUUCUCGUUUGUUACCACGGAAGAUUGAUCAUAGCGCUUCAUCUCAUGGUCUUCAGCAUAGAAACUGUUUGGUGUCUAUUAGGUAGGUUUACUAAAUAGGUUUGCAUGAUUGCCCCCGCAGGCGGAUCUUGUUCAUGUUAUUGUACUUACUCUGAAGUUGUGAUCAAUGAAAUAUUAGCGUCCUUGGAUAAAAAAAAAAGAAAAAGUUGUAUAAGAAUAAGAAAUUUUAUUUACACAUUGUUACAUACUACAUACACAUCAUCUACUUAAUACACCACUUAAUAACUUUUGUACUUUAAUAUUUUACUAUAUAACAUAUACACCACCCAAUUUCUCGUGUGCCAAUUAUGUGUCACAAAUAAAUUUGUGACACGUGGGAUUCCAAUCACAACACCUAAAACAAGUUUAACACCGUUAAGUUUUAUUAAAUUUAGCUUUUUUACUAAAAAAAACAAAACUCAGCCUUUUCUUCCUCCUCUAGUACAACCCUUUCAUCUUUCCCUCUACUUCUGCUUAACUUCAUCGUCUCUUAAACUUCAAAAUUGCGUUUCAAAAACUUCAUUGGUAUGAAUUGAAGGAGAGUUUUUGCACAUAGAAUAUAUGGUGAUGAUGCGGGCGUUGAGGACUAAGUCGUGGUUGGGUGGAUUCGGAAACGAUGCAGUGGUGGUUUCGAUGUUGCUGUGGCGGCGGCAGGCCAAGAGAAGGGCGUCGAUGGUGUCUUUGAGGUGCUGGGAGGUGGGUGAGGCAUUUGCUCGGAGGAGGGUGAGGGCGGCGGGGAGGUUGCUGGAGUUGAAGAGGCGGUUGAAUCUUGAAGUGGGUUGGGUUUUGGUGGAGAGAGAGAGAGAGAGGUGGUCUAGGUGGGAGGGAGAGAAAAUGAAGCUUAUGGACUGAAAAUGGAGUGUGUUUGGGAAGAAGGAGAUGAUGAUUAGGGCUGGCAUUGGUACGGUACCGGCGUUUUUUUGCCAAAACCAACUACCGUACCAACUUGUUACGGUACAUGAAAUCAUUUACCACUACCGACCGGCAAAGUUGGUAUACCGAGAGUUCGGUAUACCGAACUCUCGGUUUGGUAUGGUACGGUUGGGCCGGCUACCGACUUCAAAAUGGGCCACUUUUUAUAAAAAAAAAAUAAGACAUGGCCCAUUGGCCCAAAUCAUAUUUUCUUGCUUUGAACUGAACUUGAACUGAUGCAGAUCAUGCAACAUUAGCAGCAAUAUCAAGUUAUCAACUACCAAACAUUCAAACUAUCAAAUUAAUGAUCAACCAAAACUUACAAAUACCAUUAAGACAUUAACCAACUGCUUAAGACCUCAAGUGCUCACUGCUCAACCACAAAAGCACAAACAUGAGACUAUGAGAGUGAGACAAUGAGAUUAUGAGACUGAGACCAUGAACUGAUGAAAGUAUGAGAACACAAAGUCACAAAACACAGAAAACAGAGAAAAGUACAAAACCAAGUUAACCAAGUAACCAACUGCUCUAUAGCCUCUAGGCCCUCUCUACUGCUCAAGUGAACUUUAUUACUAACCUUAGUAACCUAUAAGGCUAUAACUCAAUAAGUUACACAGCCAUAAACACAAACACAGAAAGUCAAAAACUGUCAAACUAUAAACUCAGCCUGCUCUAAAGUCUAAACUCUAAAACUCAGUUGAAAAACAAACUUUAAAAACCUGCACAGUAACUUUAAAAACAAACUUUCCAAGUUUCCAAUUUCCAAGCCAACAUUGACAAUAACAAUUAACAAGUGAACAAACAAGAGAACAAACAACAAAACAAACAAGUGAACAAACUUUGCAAUUUCCAAGCCAACUGCCAAUAACAAUUAACAAGUGAACAAACAUUGAAACCAAAAAAACCUGUACAAGUGUAAAACUGCAGCAUAGUAACACAGUUCAAAAAGAAACUAAUUCCAAGUCAAGUAGUCAACUGCCAACACCCAACAACAAACACACAUUGAAAUACUGAAUAUCAGUAACCAAAACAGCUAAAUAUCAGUAACCAAAACAGAAAAUAAAACAGAAAUAUCAGAAAUUGUUCAGAAAUAUUUAAGUAACCAAAACAUAAAUAUUUUUCAGAAAAUUGAACAACUAAAUAUCAGUAACCAAAUCAGAAAUAUUGUUCAGAAAAUUGAGAUCUCCCAAAUACUGAAUUAAACACUGAUGGCGGCUUCUACAUAUUGGUUUGGCCAGAACUCCCAGUAAUCUCUAUUGGAGUUGCUGCCUCCACUCCUUGGUUAUAACCAUUUUCUGCAAAAGAGAAAAAAAAUCAUAUAGUUGAAUAAAAUAAGAAAGAAUGAAUACCAUUAAAUUCAGUAAAUUCACAGUGUUUGACUGUUUGUAGUCAAUUACUAACACCAUUACCUUUCUCAAGUUCCUCUAACUCAUAGUAAAAUUUAAGGUCUUCUUCAGUUGGAUCCUUGUAUAAGCUUGGUGUAUCAGCUCUUAGCCAAUCACUAGUGCACACCAGGGCCUCCACCAUUCUUGGUGUCAAUGAUGCUCUAAAAGGAUCGACAACUCUAUCACCUAAACUAAAAGCAUUUUCAGAUGCCACUGUUGAAUAAGGAAUAGCAAAUAUAUCCUUCGCCAGCUUUGAUAGAACUGGAUAGGUUGCCUCAUUGCCUUUCCACCAUUUGGCAAUUUCAAAACCCUUGGACAAGAGGCUGACAUAUCUAUCGGAUAAGUACUGGUCAACUUCAUUUCUUAUGCAUAAAGAUUGCUCAGCCACCCUCUCCCUUGCUAUCUCCCUGCUAACUUCAUCGAGGCCAUCCAUUUCAUCAAAUUCCAUUUAAGCCAUAUCACUUCCAGAAGUAUGCUCAGUCAAAUCAGUAAUGUCUUCACCUUUAUAUUCUUCAUACAUCUUCAUCAAGAUUCUCUUCAACUCACUUUCAAUGGUUUCAACUACAUGUGCACUUGCUUUCACCUUUUUCAUUGCCACUUUAGCCCACUGCAACUUGCAUCUUGGGUCUAAAACAUUAGCUAUCAUGACCAUGUUGUUCAGCACCUCAAAGCUGCCCCAAUACUUGUCAAACUUAGCCUUCAUAGAUUCAGCAACCCUCUUCAAAACCUCAUCAGUGGAGUCACAAGCCUUGUCAAUCUCAGUCUGCAAUGUAAUCAUCUCCACAAAUAAUAUGUUUGCAGUCACUGAUUUCCAUGCACUCAGCCUCACAGUAGCUGCAUAAAAUUUCUCCAAAAACAAACAGAAAGCUUCAGCAUUCCUCCAAGCUUCAAAAUCUGGUGGUCCAACCUUGUCCUGAAAAUAGCUUCUAAAUGAAGGAUCUUCUUCUGCCAUCCUCCCAAAAACAGCUUCAUACUUCAAAGCAGCUUGCAACAUAAGAAAUGUGCUGUUCCAUCUUGUUAUAACAUCUAAUGGAACAUUUGCAUUAGCCCUGCAUUGCUCCAAAACAGCAAACUCCCUAAACUUGUCAAGCCUAGCAGAUAAACUCCUAACAUACUUUGCACAAUUCCAUAUAGCUGCAAUCCCAUUCUCCAACUCCUUCAAACCAUCUUUAACUAUUAAGUUAAUAAUAUGGCAAGCACAUCUUAAAUACAAAUAGGCCCCAUCAAACAUCAAAGUUUUGUAGCCCUUCAACCUUCUCUUCAUGUAUUACACUGCGACAUCAUUAGCAGAAGCAUUGUCGACAGUGAUGGUGAACACUUUUGAGAUCUCCCACUGCCUCAAACAUUGCUCCAUAACUCUACCAAUGUCCUCACCUUUGUGACUGACAAUUGGACAAAAGUUUAUGAUUCUUUUGUGCAAUUUCCAGUCAACAUCCAUAAAAUGAGCUGUAAGAACCAUGUAGUUAAUGUUUUGUAUCGAUGUCCAUGUGUCUGUGGUGAUCGAAAUCCUAGUGUCUAUAGCCUUAAAAAAAACUCAACAAAACAGCCUUCUCAUGAUUAAACUUCUCUAACACACCCUUGGCAACCUGCUUUCUAGUCAUUAUUGGCCACUCCGGUUGUAAUUCCUUAACAAACGCCUUAAAACCCUCCUUCUCCACAUGCCUAAAGGGUAGUUCAUCCCUAAUUAUCAUCUCAAUACACUUAUCAUCACACCGUUGUCUGUUAUACUUAUGAGGUUUUCCUCCAGACACAUUAUCUAUGUUCAGUUUGGACUGUUUUUGAUCAGUUUCACCAGGUUUGGUACGCAUAGGGUGUAACUCACAUUUCCUCACAUGAGCCAACAUUGAACUUGUCACAUUUCUCUUAACUGAACACAACACUUCCUGACCACAAAUGUUGCAGGUGCACCACUCCGAAUCUAUUUCAUCCGAGUUUGGGAUCUUACAUCUAGUAAAGAACGGUCAAAGAGGACUUUUGUUAGCUGGUUCUUUUCUUUUCUUCCCAAAGGAAGGUUGUGAGCUGGUUUCAGGACCAUAUUCAAGUGGAGGUGUAGGUUCAGAUCCAAGGGCAGAGGCAGGGUGUGGAGGUUCAGGGGGAGGUCCUAAUGGGGAUAUGUUUCUAUGUAAGGAUGCAGUUUCCUCUAUAUUUGCAGUAGAUUGAAUAGAUGGAGAUGAGCUACUGGUCUGACUGCUAUGAAUUUGAGACAUUGCUGUAUCCGCUAUGAAAAUUGAAAAACAAAAACCAAUAAAUCCUAACUUAAUAUAAAUUGAGCCAAAACAGCAAUUAACAGCAAAAUAACAAGCUGCACUAACAUAUUGUUAAGUAUUUUCUCUGUUCUUAUUAUUGACUAUUGAAUCAAAACAGCAAUUAACAACAAAAUAACAAGCUGCACUAACCUAUUGUUCAUAACUUAAUAUAAAUUGAGCCAAAACAGCAAUUAACAGCAAAAUAACAAGCUGCCCUAACCUAUUGUAUACAGGUUCUACCAUGUCUAUAACCCCUAUAGUCUCAAACUAAGUACAUUACUGUAACAUCAAAUAAUGGAUCACAUGUGUAAUACCCUGACCAAUUUGAGAAACUAAUAAUGAGACCACGUCAUAUCACAUUAUUGUGAUAUUCCAACAAUAUAAAUGCGAGUCCUGAAU
rnacentral:lncRNA from 1 species